rnacentral:rRNA from 1 species
CCGAUCGAUCGACUGUGUGCUGUCGAGCAGAUCUUCUUUGGUCUGAGGUGCGCAGGAUACCUUAGACGGCAGCGUUUGAAUAGAGGUGUAAAAGAGUAGUGUAUUGUUAGGUUAGAGGGGAUUCUGUGCGGCGGCGACGGCGGUCCUAGGAGGGGGACGCGUAGAGGGCGUGUGGGGUAGUGGAGACGUACGGCCGCCUAGAGCGCGAGGUGGCCGCCGGCGGCAGCGAGGUCGUGGCUGCCCGUGAGAGCCGGGAAAAAAAGAAGACCAAAAAGUCUAGUCUAGCCGAGACAGUGAGGAGGGCGAGCUCCGGCGGCAGCGUUCGAGCUCGUGGUGGAAGCGACGGGGGAGGGGGAGGUUUAGUCUGUGCCCAGCCAGAGCGCGCGCUCGUGCCGCAGCGGGUGCCGGGCGUCGGGGCCUCGUUGUACAGCUGCGAGCGUGAAGCGUCCUUGGUCCUCGGGGUGCUGACGAAGGGAAAGAAAUCGAGCGACGGCUCGCAGAGGCCGGUUCGGCGCGCGGCUCUCUGCCGGUACCGGCGGGCUACGGGCUCGCGGUGGCCGGUUCCUGGGCGGCCGCAGGUCUGGGGGAGGUGCGGUAGGGGUAGAGCGACCUCUGGACGUGGUUUAGGGUAGGUCGUGGCGCGGUGGGAAGCCAGGGGCGGGGCGUCAAGACGUCGGACUCGCGAAGUCGGCGGAGCGCGAGCUUCGUCUCCUCUCCUCGAGGGACGGUGCUCGGAGAAGUCGUGGCCGUUUGGUCAUCCGGCUGGGGAAGGAACCGAGGACGCCGCACCUACGGCCGCCGUUCACCGGCGGGUACGGGCCGCCACCUCUUGCGUUUACCUGUUCGCCGCCACCACGGGCCACCACUUCGUCAAAUUAAUUCCUCGCACCCAUGUUAACAUUGAUUACGUGCCCACAAAAACGUUUGUCGUUUGACAAAAAAUUAUGGGUGAAUUUUGUCCUGGCGCCCAACUUAAGAGUUUUAGCCUCCCCGGAAAGACAUUUUAACGGUGCUGCAUGCUGGUCUUCGUGAGGCACGAAAUAAUCAUCCCUUUCUCCAUUUCUAACUUUAUAGAUUUUUUCUAAAUAUGAAGCAUAAAUCCUUGGUUCCUUCACGUCAACACUGAGAGUCAGAGUGAGAGAGGAGUGGCGAGAGUGAAAGAGGAGUGGCGAAUCGGGAAAAGGGAAGUACGAUGCUUAUGAAAAGUGAAAGGUCUUUAUGGGAGGGUGGUGGCGAGAGUGUGUGAGCUCGAGUGUGAGAACAGGGGGAGAGUGGGUGGGGAAGAGCGAGGGGAGGUCUAGGGGUGACAGCAGCCGGAGAGGAGCGGCGGCAGUGGCCGGAGAGGAGCUGAGGGAAAGAGAGGUGGUGGUACGUGGGGCAAAGGAGGGUGGCGCGUGGGGCGUGGCAUCCAGUUUUCGAACUAAAAAAUCCGCGGUCGCUGUUCGAAGACCCGCCGCCCCCGAUCUAGGCGCACGCAGGUACGGCCGAAGCGUCGCCACGAACUACACCUCACCGCGACCUCGUCGCCUCGCCCCGAAAGAAGGAGUGGAGUGUCACGGCAGGAGGAGGUGCUGGUACGUUGGCGUUGUCGCCUCCUCGGCUUAGGGAUCGGUCGCUCGAGUCCAUCGGUACCCAGGUACCCCGCUGCGGUACCUUCCCGGUGGUUGAUGUGGUCGCUCCUCUCCUCUUUCUCUCAUCGGACUACCAGCAGAAGGUGGAGGCGGAUACGGGGGUGGGAGGUGGAGGUGGAUGCGGGGGCGGCCUCUAUCAUGUUACCGGUUCCUUUAUCCGUCCUCCGCGACGAAGGGCCUACCUGUACCUGUACGAAGAGGUUGAGACGAAGAAGGACCCAGCGGUACCUUCUUUCAUCAUUCUUAGAUUCUUUCGGCUUCGGAAGGUCGUGUGACGUUGUUAUCCUUCUCGUGUUCAGCUUGUCCCUGUGUUGAGUGUGUGAUGCCACCUGUCUUUCCAUUGAUGUAACGACUUUAUCAACUACUACCGUUUGGAUCCCGUACUACCCGUGGCAACUUAUAUUGUUUCCACCUAGAGGUAGGAAACAUCGUUGUCGGUAGCGGAGCGUUGUCCUAGAAGCAGGAAACGUCGUUGUCGGCAGCGGAGCGUUGUCGGUAGCUCGCUUCCAAUACAAAGCCUGCGGCUCCAACGCCACAUCAACACUACUAGUGUGUUGACCCAGCUACCUCGAGCAUGCGCUCCUUCUUGACCGUAAAUACAGGAACCACCGUUGCACGCAACCGCCCAGCUACCUCGAACAAGCUACCAAACUAAAAACCAUCUACCUGGAGCAAGCACCCAACGGCUUGACAAAACAAACAACCGAUCCACACACUAUCACCCCAAACCGAGCAAACUGACCACCAGGUACCCGGCUUAUAGCUUACUCAACCGGAACCAAAAAACCCGAACGCCCGACCUAAAACACGCCCGCACACCCUGUGACGUGCUACCGGC